rnacentral:rRNA from 1 species
GAACUCUGGUAUUGAUUGGUGCUUGCAUCAUGAUUUACAUUUGAGUGAGUGGCGAACUGGUGAGUAACACGUGGGAAACCUGCCCAGAAGCGGGGGAUAACACCUGGAAACAGAUGCUAAUACCGCAUAACAACUUGGACCGCAUGGUCCGAGCUUGAAAGAUGGCUUCGGCUAUCACUUUUGGAUGGUCCCGCGGCGUAUUAGCUAGAUGGUGGGGUAACGGCUCACCAUGGCAAUGAUACGUAGCCGACCUGAGAGGGUAAUCGGCCACAUUGGGACUGAGACACGGCCCAAACUCCUACGGGAGGCAGCAGUAGGGAAUCUUCCACAAUGGACGAAAGUCUGAUGGAGCAACGCCGCGUGAGUGAAGAAGGGUUUCGGCUCGUAAAACUCUGUUGUUAAAGAAGAACAUAUCUGAGAGUAACUGUUCAGGUAUUGACGGUAUUUAACCAGAAAGCCACGGCUAACUACGUGCCAGCAGCCGCGGUAAUACGUAGGUGGCAAGCGUUGUCCGGAUUUAUUGGGCGUAAAGCGAGCGCAGGCGGUUUUUUAAGUCUGAUGUGAAAGCCUUCGGCUCAACCGAAGAAGUGCAUCGGAAACUGGGAAACUUGAGUGCAGAAGAGGACAGUGGAACUCCAUGUGUAGCGGUGAAAUGCGUAGAUAUAUGGAAGAACACCAGUGGCGAAGGCGGCUGUCUGGUCUGUAACUGACGCUGAGGCUCGAAAGUAUGGGUAGCAAACAGGAUUAGAUACCCUGGUAGUCCAUACCGUAAACGAUGAAUGCUAAGUGUUGGAGGGUUUCCGCCCUUCAGUGCUGCAGCUAACGCAUUAAGCAUUCCGCCUGGGGAGUACGGCCGCAAGGCUGAAACUCAAAGGAAUUGACGGGGGCCCGCACAAGCGGUGGAGCAUGUGGUUUAAUUCGAAGCUACGCGAAGAACCUUACCAGGUCUUGACAUACUAUGCAAAUCUAAGAGAUUAGACGUUCCCUUCGGGGACAUGGAUACAGGUGGUGCAUGGUUGUCGUCAGCUCGUGUCGUGAGAUGUUGGGUUAAGUCCCGCAACGAGCGCAACCCUUAUUAUCAGUUGCCAGCAUUAAGUUGGGCACUCUGGUGAGACUGCCGGUGACAAACCGGAGGAAGGUGGGGAUGACGUCAAAUCAUCAUGCCCCUUAUGACCUGGGCUACACACGUGCUACAAUGGAUGGUACAACGAGUUGCGAACUCGCGAGAGUAAGCUAAUCUCUUAAAGCCAUUCUCAGUUCGGAUUGUAGGCUGCAACUCGCCUACAUGAAGUCGGAAUCGCUAGUAAUCGCGGAUCAGCAUGCCGCGGUGAAUACGUUCCCGGGCCUUGUACACACCGCCCGUCACACCAUGAGAGUUUGUAACA